rnacentral:rRNA from 1 species
CACCCCCUGUUAGGGGGUGUGCAUGUGGUUGUGAUGGCCGUGCGACAUGCACUUGCCGUCGGUAUGUGCCGAGAGGCUUGGUUGCCCCUUCUGAACGGCGUGGCGUUGCCCAGCUUCGGCUCGGUGUCUUGUCGCGUCGGGAAGUCGGUGGUGGCUAAGUUUCCGCAUAGAGCGUCUAGCGCUUGCGCGCUGCUCAGUGUUGGCUUGCUGCGUACGUAGGCGGUCGCGUGCGACUUGUUUGCGUGCGUUGUAGGCUUGGCAGGGGUGGUGCACUAGACGUCGUCUCGGUAUGAAAGUCGAUCACCUAUCCGACCCGUCUUGAAACACGGACCAAGAAGUCUAGCAUAUGCGCGAGUCAUUGGGUGCAAAAACCUAAAGGCGUAAUGAAAGUGAAGGCUGGCUUGACCGGCUGAUAUGGGAUCCGUGCUCGUUCGCGAGUGCGGCGCACCAUAGCCCCAUCCUGAGUGCUUGCACUGGGGUGGAGGUAGAGCGUAUAUGCUGGGACCCGAAAGAUGGUGAACUAUGCCUGAGCAGGAUGAAGCCAGAGGAAACUCUGGUGGAAGUCCGAAGCGGUUCUGACGUGCAAAUCGAUCGUCGUACUUGGGUAUAGGGGCGUGGUAUA